GACGAACGCUGGCGGCGUGCUUAACACAUGCAAGUCGAGCGGUAAGGCUCCUUCGGGAGUACACGAGCGGCGAACGGGUGAGUAACACGUGAGCAAUCUGCCCUUCACUUUGGGAUAACUCCGGGAAACCGGUGCUAAUACCGAAUACGACCACCGAUGGCAUCAUCUGGUGGUGGAAAGUUCCGGUGGUGAGGGAUGAGCUCGCGGCCUAUCAGCUUGUUGGUGGGGUAAUGGCCCACCAAGGCAACGACGGGUAGCCGGCCUGAGAGGGUGACCGGCCACACUGGGACUGAGACACGGCCCAGACUCCUACGGGAGGCAGCAGUGGGGAAUCUUGCGCAAUGGGCGAAAGCCUGACGCAGCGACGCCGCGUGAGGGAUGACGGCCUGGUGU
rnacentral:rRNA from 1 species